rnacentral:tRNA from 2 species
GGGCGGUUAGCUCAGCUGGAAGAGCGGCUGGUUUACACCCAGUAGGUCGGCGGUUCGAACCCGUCACCGCCCACCA